GACGAACGCUGGCGGCGUGCCUAAUACAUGCAAGUUGAGCGAUGAAGAUUGGUGCUUGCACCAAUUUGAAGAGCAGCGAACGGGUGAGUAACGCGUGGGGAAUCUGCCUUUGAGCGGGGGACAACAUUUGGAAACGAAUGCUAAUACCGCAUAACAACUUUAAACAUAAGUUUUAAGUUUGAAAGAUGCAAUUGCAUCACUCAAAGAUGAUCCCGCGUUGUAUUAGCUAGUUGGUGAGGUAAAGGCUCACCAAGGCGAUGAUACAUAGCCGACCUGAGAGGGUGAUCGGCCACAUUGGGACUGAGACACGGCCCAAACUCCUACGGGAGGCAGCAGUAGGGAAUCUUCGGCAAUAGACGAAAGUCUGACCGAGUAACGCCGCGUGAGUGAAGAAGGUUUUCGGAUCGUAAAACUCUGUUGGUAGAGAAGAACGUUGGUGAGAGUGGAAAGCUCAUCAAGUGACGGUAACUACCCAGAAAGGGACGGCUAACUACGUG
rnacentral:rRNA from 1 species